rnacentral:rRNA from 1 species
UACGUAGGGAGCAAGCGUUGUCCGGAAUCAUUGGGCGUAAAGCGCGCGUAGGUGGCCACAUAAGUCCGUUGUGAAAGUCAAAGGCUCAACCUUUGAAAGCCGAUGGAUACUGUGUGGCUAGAGUACGGAAGAGGCGAGUGGAAUUCCUGGUGUAGCGGUGGAAUGCGCAGAUAUCAGGAGGAACACCGGUGGCGAAGGCGGGUCUCUGGGCAGUAACUGACGCUGAGGAGCGAAAGCGUGGGGAGCGAACAGG